rnacentral:lncRNA from 1 species
GCCUCCCAGAGUGCUGGGAUUACAGUCAUGAACCACCACGCCCAGCCGGAAGGUUUCUUAAAUUUGCAGUGUUUCUGAAAUGUAGGCAAAAACCUGAGGGAAACAUUUCUCAGAUAUUGUCAUUAUACUUUGUAGGUAUCAAUUUUUAUUCAAGUAUCUCUCUGUCAUUGUCUUUGUCUUUUGUAAAGGGGAUAUUUGUGUACUUAUUUGAGUUAAACUAUUACAUACUAGCCCUUUAUAAUGGUCCUCUUCUUUGAAAAUUUUUCUUUCCUUCCUCGACUUGCCUUUAUUUUUUUAUAUGCUGAAAAUGUCAGUAGUCAAUGUGCUAUAAUACUCUUCUCCUUAAAGUAUGGUUAAUUUAACAUUCUUUCCCUGUCUGUGUGUAUUUGAAACACACUCAAAUGGGCUUUGGAGCUAUUUAACAUUUUUAUUCCCCUAAUGCCUAUAUAGCAUCUUUUUUUUUUCAUUUAUUUCAGGUAGAGAAGUUGGCAUUAAACAUCAAGAGAUACCAUUCAUUCAACAUAUCUAUCAGAAGGGCACGUCCACCAUCAGCACAAUGAGAUCUCAUACUCAAGAGGAUCCUUUUCUAUGCAAUGACUUAGGAGAAGAUUUCACUCAACAUAUAGCAUUGACUCAAAAUGUGAUUACCUACAUG